rnacentral:lncRNA from 1 species
GUAUAAAUACAUAACAAGAGGUCCCAAAACUGAGAGACCUGCAAGGACAAAUAUGUAUUCAAUGGGACAUGAAGAAACUGGUCCUUGAGAGACAGUUUUGGACCAGGGAUGAAGUAGCCCAGCUUAGCAGUAGCGCCACAUGUCCAACAUGUUCAACACUGCCGCAAAUCAGAGAAUCGAUUCUUCCACUGUUUUGCCAGGUUUGCAUAUCCACAAAAUGAGUAGAAAGAUACUUGACUAAGGUACCCGAUGAACAUGACUGAAUAGGAACUGCUUAUCAGUUAAAUGAAUGCAUUUCAUUGGAGGGAGACCCCAGCCAGGUGGCACCUCAAAGACUUCCACCCCCUCCUUUGCAGAAAUGAAGAGGUACAAGUCUCCUGCUGUGACUUUGCCAGUGCUUCUUUUUUUCAUUGUUGGCUGCUGCAAGGUAGUACAUGAAGGGUCUAAGAUUGUCCAAGAAGAUAAGCCAGCUGGACUGUACACAAUGCAACACUGCUCUAAAGUCAACAGCAAGUCUCUUCUGGACUCGUCUGAAAGCAAAAUUUCACCCAGAGAGAAGAGAACAGAUUUUGGGAUGCUCCUUUUCAUUUCUUCAUUCUGAAAUAGCUGGGCUGGAAAUAGAAAGGACAGACAAAACCUAUUAACUGUACUGAGGAAGAUUCAUGGUGUCUAGAUACUUUCUAUCCAUUAUUAUGCUGGCAGUUUCAAAGAGGUGUCAAUUUUCUGUGCCAAAAUACGGGACUAGAACUACAAAUCCUGUUUUGGAUUCAUGAGAAGAGAAACUAUUUAUUUGUGAUUCAUGAUGAAAAUAUACCUUAUAUACGAGUAUAAAAGUAGCCAGUUUUGUGUUGCAUAUAAAAUAUGCCUUAUAAACAUCUCUUACAUUAAAUGGCUUAUUGUUCUCAUGCUUUACAUGCAGG